GCGCCGGUAGCUCAACUGGAUAGAGCAUCUGACUACGGAUCAGAAGGUUGGGGGUUCGAAUCCUCCCCGGCGCGCCA
rnacentral:tRNA from 3 species